GCUAUUUUGGCAGAAAAAUGUAAUGAUUUUAGAAGUCAUAAAUAUAUAGAUUUAAUUAUAUAAAUAGUAA
rnacentral:tRNA from 1 species